rnacentral:rRNA from 1 species
GAUGAACGCUGGCGGCGUGCCUAAUACAUGCAAGUCGAGCGAACAGAUGAGGAGCUUGCUCCUCUGACGUUAGCGACGGACGGGUGAGUAACACGUGGAUAACCUACCUAUAAGACUGGGAUAACUUCGGGAAACCGGAGCUAAUACCGGAUAAUAUAUUGAACCGCAUGGUUCAAUAGUGAAAGACGGUUUUGCUGUCACUUAUAGAUGGAUCCGCGCCGCAUUAGCUAGUUGGUAAGGUAACGGCUUACCAAGGCAACGAUGCGUAGCCGACCUGAGAGGGCGAUCGGCCACACUGGAACUGAGACACGGUCCAGACUCCUACGGGAGGCAGCAGUAGGGAAUCUUCCGCAAUGGGCGAAAGCCUGACGGAGCAACGCCGCGUGAGUGAUGAAGGUCUUCGGAUCGUAAAACUCUGUUAUUAGGGAAGAACAAAUGUGUAAGUAACUAUGCACGUCUUGACGGUACCUAAUCAGAAAGCCACGGCUAACUACGUG